rnacentral:rRNA from 1 species
CGUUAUCCGGAAUUAUUGGGCGUAAAGAGCUCGUAGNCGGUUUGUCGCGUCUGUCGUGAAAGUCCGGGGCUUAACCCCGGAUCUGCGGUGGGUACGGGCAGNCUAGAGUGCAGUAGGGGAGACUGGAAUUCCUGGUGUAGCGGUGGAAUGCGCAGAUAUCAGGAGGAACACCGAUGGCGAAGGCAGGUCUCUGGGCUGUAACUGACGCUGAGGAGCGAAAGCAUGGGGAGCGAACAGGAUUAGAUCCCCUGGUAGUCCAUGCCGUGGGGCGUUGGGCACUAGGUGUGGGGACCAUUCCGCUGUUUCCGCGCCGCAGCUAACGCAUUAAGUGCCCCGCCUGGGGAGUACGGCCGCAAGGCUAAAACUCAAAGGAAUUGACGGAAUAGAAUUCCCGCG